GAUNGGACUUUCCCUUCGGGGACAAAAGAGACAGGUGGUGCAUGGUUGUNGUCAGCUCGUGUCGUGAGAUGUUGGGUUAAGUCCCGCAACGAGCGCAACCCCUGUGGUUAGUUGCCAUCAUUUAGUUGGGCACUUUUAAGCAGACUGCCGUGGAUAACACGGAGGAAGGUGGGGACGACGUCAAAUCAUCAUGCCCCUUAUGACCUGGGCUACACACGUGCUACAAUGGUCUGAACAGAGGGUUGCGAAACCGCGAGGUGAAGCUAAUCCCUUAAAACAGAUCUCAGUUCGGAUUGCAGGCUGCAACUCGCCUGCAUGAAGUUGGAGUUGNUAGUAAUCGCAGAUCAGAAUGCUGCGGUGAAUGCGUUCCCGGGUCUUGUACACACNGA
rnacentral:rRNA from 1 species